UUCCUUCUUGCUUAUGCAGGCACUGCCGUUACACUAAUUGACACGAUGAAGUUUUCCUCAGCCAUCCUGCUGUUUGCGCUGCUAGGAGCGUUCCUGAUUGUCAUCGCUGCCGCAGAAAGAGCCAACAAGACGCAAGGAGGAACAGGUCAUGGCAAACGAUAUCCCGACGCCUCUGCCUGCAGAAAAAGCUGCUUGAAGCAGGGCUUCAAGUUUGGGCAUUGCCGUAAUACUAUUCUGCGGCCCUGUGUGUGCUCCUAGUUUUUACGCGACACCAUUACUUGUUUGCAAUAAAUGUGUACCACGCAGGGCGUACGCUGCGUCCUUGUGAGCUGAA